UACGUAGGGGGCUAGCGUUGUCCGGAUUUAUUGGGCGUAAAGAGCGUGUAGGCGGCCAAGUAGGUCCGGUGUGAAAACUCGAGGCUUAACCUCGAGAUGUCAUCGGAAACCAUUUGGCUAGAGUCCGGAAGAGGAAAGUGGAAUUCCUGGUGUAGCGGUGAAAUGCGCAGAUAUCAGGAGGAACACCAAUGGCGAAAGGCAGCACUCGUGGGACGUGAC
rnacentral:rRNA from 1 species